CUUUAUUUCAAAUCAAUUAUGAAAAGUGAGGUUGCAAUUUGGUAUAAAGAACAUCCAGAGGAAUGCAACUGCUUGCCUGAAUAUCCUCUGACUAGGUCACGAGGGUAGGACACCCACUUGAUAAGUAACCAGAGACUUGCCCAUCUGCCCAAUUUACCCCUAGUUGGUGACCAAAGAAAGAGAAAAUGGGUAGUAGAGUAAGGUGAGCUCAGGCUGGGGUGAAAUUGUACCGGUAAGGAGAACAAGUUUAAAAAAGUUUGAUGCAUCAGUUUUUCCCUGAUGACACCAGCCACGAUCAGGUCAGUGCCACACCAGUGUUCACGGGGUCUGCAGGUGCUUUGGCAGACACGCAGCCUCUCGGCUCUGUGUUCACAGCUGCACAGGCAGAGGCACAGCUGUCCCGCCCAGAGAGCUGAACACACAGGAGGGGGGAAAGGACAUUGCAUGAAGGGAACUCCAGUUCACCAAAUCCAGCCUUCCCAGUGUGCUCUUUACCUUUGCCAGGAACCCAUGGCUGUAACUGGCCGCUGCGCUGUGUGUCGUCACAAACCGGAUCUUCGAGAAACUUGGAGCAGCUGAAACCUCCAGUUCCCCCAGCAGUUCUGUGGGAGGAGAGGAAUGAAGCAGAACAGAUACAGGCUCCAGAAAUACUAUGUUCAUCUGUCUCCUGCAUGACUAGUUCUCUUGUAGUCCCGAGAUUUUUGCAAGGACAGGAAGGUUUGUCCAAAGCCAGUCUGCCCGAUGCAAAUCUCCACCAGUCUGCAGCAAGAGAAAGCAACAUUCUAAUGCGAGAACAUCCCCUUACAACACCAGAGCCUGGCAAACCACAUUCCAGCUCUGUCUACAGCACCCAAAUGCAUUUGAUCCACACAGCAAAUGCAUGAACACCAUACUGGUGAUGGAAAAUAUCAAAGACCACAGGGUGGAAGGUGGUGAUGGGAGAAGUGGGAGCAUGGCUGCCACGGGCAGGUGAAGCCCUGCAGCUGCAGUACACCUGUUUGUACAGGGAAAGCACUGCAAGCUGCCACCAUUCAUCCCCUGGGGAAAGGGGACAACACUGCACAUGGCAAGAAGCUCCUCCACAGCCAAGGGUGCUCCUGGAGCCACCUCAUAUGCAGUCACGUACACCCAACCCCUCAGAGCAUCAGGCACUCCCCCAGGCAGAGCUCCCAUCCCAGAGGUGGCCACUGGCAGGAGGUGGGGGAGAUCUGGCAUGCAUACAGCCCACAGGCUGCACCACUUGCCUGUGACUGAACAGGUACCAGAAAAUUCAUCAGCAAGAGGCUGGUACUUCCACGGCUGCAGCUGGAUGCCCUCAGAGCCGUAGGUCUGUGGCAGGUGGGAAGAUGGCUGCUCCAGGCCCGAGGACACCGAGCACAGCACACACAAUGCAGCCUCUGUUCACAGCACAAGCAACAGAAUCGAAACCACUUCAUUUCAAGGGGGCAUUCAGGCCUGGAGCCACCACUGGCACAGGGACAGCUCUCCAAAGUGGCAGAGUGCUCCUAUUGAGGGAGCAAGUCUGGCCUGGCUCCUGUGGAUACAGCAGCGUGCAACAGCUCCAAGGAUCAGGGCCACUUCAUUUGUCCACCCACAGGCUGAAUUCCAAAGCUCUAUCUCAGAAAACUAAGCAGGAUAUACGGGGGGUUUUUUCAAACAUAACAGGUUGCUUAAGAGCUAAAGCCUCUAUUUCAUUACUCCAUUGUAGCAGGAACACAGGUCUGAACCAUCAACCUUGUACCUCUCCACAGCUGCAGUGGAAAUAAUUUCAGGUACUCUUGAAUGCAGCUGACGUGUGGGAGAGGCAGGUUGUUCACAAGGUUGCCAGAAUGCUGUUUCACUUGUGCAUGCAGCAGGCAAUCCAGCAACAAGGUGCAGUUCAGCUUUGAGAUGAUUAAACAGAUGAGAAACAUUAUCAGGCUUGAGGGAUUCAGUUUAACUGCAGUUCCAUAGAAACCAGCAGUAAAAAGGCUGUAUUUUUUUCCUCAUUACCCGGAAUGCAGAACUGAACUCAAGAGACUCUUCCCUUACCUCACAGAGGCUUCACAGGCUGAUUCUUUUCAUAUUAAGACAAAAGUAUACAAAAGGAUUUGAAACACCAGCAGUUUGCCAGGGGAUUAUGAUUAUUCCCCAAACCAAAAUUAGAACGUUAUCCCUGUUUGUGUUGUGUGAGCCAGUUACUGCAUCUUCAGAGGGCACCACCUAACAUACAUUUUAUAUUCCCAUACACUUUACAGUAGCUCAUGCUGAUGAAUUGAAAGAUGCACUUUUAAGUAAAGGCUUAAAAAAAAAAAAAGUCUUCAGCUCUUUAAGAAUUGGAGCUUUUAAAGAAACCACAAAGCAAUCAGCUUUUGAAAGCUCUUCUGCCAUUCAGAGAAUGCCAUGAAUCACACACACAUUAGCAGAUGUCAUGUGCAAAUCUCUGUUGCAACACUAGGAGGACAGACCUCAACCACUUUGGCAUCCAAAAAGUCAUCUCCAUUUUAAGCCUGCUGCUGACAACUCUCAACACUGUUAAUUACACCUUGCAGCUUAUAGUUGUGAGAGUGUUGCAGAAGAUACCACAGCAAUAAUACUGAACCUGUUUAAAAGUGUGAUAACAUUUCGUGGAAACUUUCAGCUGCAGUAUUUGAGUCAACAGUUACACCUGAGGUAUCAGCUAAAGCACCAUUUAACUCCAGGUGCACAUUGUAAUGCCAGAAAAUAAGCAAAUUAAAUUAUUUAUUAAGUCAGGCAGGCAAAAGGCUUUGAAAUAAUAAUCAAACCUGUGAUAGAAGUUGAGCUUGGCAAAGCUUUAAGAGACUUUGUGCUUAAUCUUUAAACAUAGUGGAAGGCUGUCCAUCACCUUGUGUGUUUGCUGUGAGCCAUCUCAAUGCAAAAAGAACAAUACAGUUCUCAUUUCCACUAUCAAACCUAACACCUGCAGUGUCUGCAUUACAAGAAAAUUACCUGUCUCUACUGAAGAAAGCACUAUGCAGGUCUCAUUGGAGAUUUGGGGUUUUCUCUUUUACCCUAAAGGGUUAUUACUACACAGCCACUCACUAUGAGCUGCUCGUUUUAUCACAUCAUCAUAACUGACACCAGGGCCAUCUUCAGAUCUUGGGUCCUCUAUAAAAAAAACACCACCACAACAAAACCCAUAAGACUAACAGCACUGAAGAGAAUGGAAAGAAAAUUAUAAUAUUGUUUCCCCUUAUCACACUAAAUUCAUUUGCAAGACCAUUUAGCUUACUGUUCUCACCUUCAUACUCCACAUACACAUUUUCUAGUGUAGCUAUAACAGGAACUGGAGUCUGUUUAAAAACCAAGUAGUUAAUUUUCAAAUUAUUUGGGACAGGUUUUCAGAUAAAAAGCUUUUAAAAAUGCUUUAAAAAAGGAAUAUUUUUCACCAGAAUCUGCCAGUAAUAUAUGCUAUUUUAAAAAAUUUGGAUAUGCUGCAAACAUCCUUCCUACCCCCCUGAACAGAAAGAUGUUGAUCUAAACUUUAAUUCACAAUAUCGUUGCUUGGGAGUUUUACUAAAUGCAGUAAUGUUUCCUGUGCGUUUCAGCAUAGAUCAGAACUUAGUUUCCUAGGUCACCUUAAAGAUAAAAUCUUUAAGUUUUCAAGCAGUAUUUGUGUGUUAAGAAGGCCUUUCUGCACACUGUUCUACUCUGAAGGGGUAUUUCCAGCUUACAGAAGAGCAGCAUGUUUUAUUCCUGGGCACAUCUGUUUCCUACUCCUAAACUACACACUUGAUCUGCACUAAAAGUGUUAUCAACUAAAUUUAUGAAGCACUUAAGCACACUAAGUAUCUAUGUAAAUCUCUGCUCAGCCCUUUAACAGAAAAGGGUAGGGAAAGAACAUAGUGUGAAAAAUAAUGAAGGAUCUGAGUGUCAAAGUAACUCUGGUAAUCUCAAAUGUCAUAGCCUUACCUAAAAGAAGAACUGGCACUUUCUCAUUUGUGACAUUAAAAGAAGGCAAGAUGAAUUUUACAAGUUUUAUUAUACAAAAGAUGAUCCAAACCCCUAAGAGCUCUUCUACAGUUCUAAAAGUUUUGUUCUGCAACUUGUACUUCCAUAUGCUUUUCCAAAAAGCCAAAAUAAAAAGACUCAUUAGUCUCGCUUUCUUCUUAGCAAGAGUCUUGAAAAAACCCAACCGUAGCUGCAUCAAAAUCUGUUAUUUAUUCUUUGUAUUCCAAGAAUUGCUGAAGUCUUUUCUUAUGUUCUGUAGACACUUGCACUGCACUAAAAACAAAAGCAGAACAUUUUACAUUAAGUGUAAUACACCACAAAAAUAAAGUCUCAUGCCAAAAUUGAGUAUACAUUGAAAUCAAUUACACUGAAGCUAAAUUUUAGAAAACCCAGCUGUAUGAAAAGCCUAUGUUCCAAGGCAA